UAAAUAUAUGAAAAACAGGCCAGGCAUGCUAGCUCACGCCUGUAAUACCGGCACUUUAGGAGGCUGAGGCAGGAGGAUCACUUGAGCCCAGGAGUUGGAGACCAGCCUGGCCAACACAGCAAGACCUGUCUCCUCAAAAACUAAGAAAAAUAGUGGGGGUGCCACUGCACUCCAGCCUGGGUGACAGAGUGAGACCUUGUCUCAAAAAAAAAAAAAAAAAAAAAAAAAAAAUCCAAAAGCCAAAAAGAGCUUGCUUUCUAGAAUAACUCUUGGGGAAAGAGCCUGGUGUGCUGGAGAGGAAGCAUGUCCCCUCCUAGGCUGAGGAAGACUGGAAUCUGGGCAUGGCAGGGGACUCUGCUCAAUGGGGAGGACUGUUCUCUCUCCACUUACCCCAAAAUUAAACCGUUCCCCAUUUACCACUUCAAAU
rnacentral:lncRNA from 10 species